rnacentral:rRNA from 1 species
UACGAAGGGGGCAAGCGUUGUUCGGAAUUAUUGGGCGUAAAGGGAGCGUAGGCGGUUCGGCAAGUCUUUAGUGAAAUCUCUGGGCUCAACUCAGAGUCUGCUGGAGAAACUGCCGGGCUGGAGUAUGGGAGAGGUGAGUGGAAUUCCCGGUGUAGAGGUGAAAUUCGUAGAUAUUCGCAAGAACACCAGUGGCGAAGGCGGCUCACUGGCCCGGUACUGACGCUGAGGUGCGAAAGCGUGGGGAGCAAACAGGG